CAAUAGCGUAUAUUUAAGUUGUUGCAGUUAAAAAGCUCGUAGUUGGAUUUCGGGUAGGAUUUGCCGGUCCGUCUUUGAGAUGUGUACUGGUAAGUCCUAUCUUCUUGUCGGGGACCAGCUCCUGGGCUUCACUGUCCGGGACUGGGAGCCGACGAAGUUACUUUGAGUAAAUUAGAGUGUUCAAAGCGGGCUUACGCUUGAAUAUAUUAGCAUGGAAUAACACCAUAGGACUCCUGUCCUAUUUCGUUGGUCUCGGGACGGGAGUAAUGAUUAAGAGGAACAGUUGGGGGCAUUCGUAUUUCAUUGUCAGAGAUGAAAUUCUUGGAUUUAUGAAAGACGAACUUCUGCGAAAGCAUUUGCCAAGGAUGUUUUCAUUGA
rnacentral:rRNA from 1 species